GACGAACGCUGGCGGCGUGCUUAACACAUGCAAGUCGAACGAAGAGCGAUGGAAGCUUGCUUCUAUCAAUCUUAGUGGCGAACGGGUGAGUAACGCGUAAUCAACCUGCCCUUCAGAGGGGGACAACAGUUGGAAACGACUGCUAAUACCGCAUACGAUCUAAUCUUGGCAUCGAGGAUAGAUGAAAGGUGGCCUCUACAUGUAAGCUAUCACUGAAGGAGGGGAUUGCGUCUGAUUAGCUAGUUGGAGGGGUAACGGCCCACCAAGGCGAUGAUCAGUAGCCGGUCUGAGAGGAUGAACGGCCACAUUGGGACUGAGACACGGCCCAGACUCCUACGGGAGGCAGCAGUGGGGAAUCUUCCGAAAUGGACGAAAGUCUGACGGAGCAACGCCGCGUGAGCGAUGACGGCCUUCGGGUUGUAAAGCUCUGUUAAUCGGGACGAAAGGCCUUCUUGCGAAUAGUGAGAAGGAUUGACGGUACCGGAAGAGAAAGCCACGGCUAACUACGUG
rnacentral:rRNA from 1 species